ACACAAAUGUAGUAGUAAAAAUAGAUCCAUCGGGCGAGCUUGUAUCGUCGGAAGGAUCAACGGAGGAGAGUCCCACAUGACCCCGUGAUAUCAUCGCCCGCAGCGGGGUCAACACACAUUCUGGGUCAAUCAACGGAAUGUGACCGCA